UACGAAGGGGGCUAGCGUUGUUCGGAAUUACUGGGCGUAAAGCGCACGUAGGCGGAUCGAUCAGUCAGGGGUGAAAUCCCAGGGCUCAACCCUGGAACUGCCUUUGAUACUGUCGAUCUGGAGUAUGGAAGAGGUGAGUGGAAUUCCGAGUGUAGAGGUGAAAUUCGUAGAUAUUCGGAGGAGCACCAGUGGCGAAGGCGGCUCACUGGUCCAUUACUGACGCUGAGGUGCGAAAGCGUGGGGAGCAAACAGG
rnacentral:rRNA from 1 species